rnacentral:rRNA from 1 species
GGAAGGAUCAUUACAAAUGUUAAGGGUGUCCUCAGGGGCCCCCAAGCAAACACAUGCCUUGUGUAUUCCUCCUGCCGGUCCCUCAAUCCUUGCGUCGCAGUAGGGGCUGAGGUGCCCAGCGGAGGGCCCAUUUUUAACCCUUUGCUAAACCUGUCUUAUGAGAUGGCCCCGUGCCAGAAUCUUUAAACAUUUUAAAACUUUCAACAACGGAUCUCUUGGCUCUCGCAUCGAUGAAGAACGCAGCGAAAUGCGAUAAGUAAUGUGAAUUGCAGAAUUCAGUGAAUCAUCGAAUCUUUGAACGCACAUUGCGCCCUCUGGCAUUCCUCAGGGCAUGCCUGUUCGAGCGUCACUAACAACCAUCUCACAUGCAAUGUGGUCUUGGCUCAUGUGUAUAGCGCCUCCUGUGCUGACUUCACUAAGCUGAAAUGAAUAGGCCAGAUAAGCAAACCAUGGCAACUGACUCACAGAGUAUCUAACAAUGCUAAACUAGUCGCUAGCUGGUAUGAAUCUGUGCCAGUGGACCCCCCCGUUCAUUCAAAUGAGACAUGUUGACCUCGGAUCAGGUAGGGAUACCCGCUGAACUUAAGCAUAUCAAUAAGCGGAGGAAAAGAAACCAACAGGGAUUGCCUCAGUAACGGCGAGUGAAGCGGCAAAAGCUCAAAUUUAAAAUCUGGCACUCUCAGUGUCCGAGUUGUACUUUGGAGAGGCAUCUUCUGGAGGGACCCAGCCUAUGUGCCUUGGAACAGGACGUCAUAGAGGGUGAGAAUCCCGUCCUUGGCUGGAUGUUCCCUCCUGUAUGUAGUGUCUUCUACGAGUCGAGUUGUUUGGGAAUGCAGCUCAAAAUGGGUGGUAAAUUUCAUCUAAAGCUAAAUAUUGGCGAGAGACCGAUAGCGCACAAGUAGAGUGAUCGAAAGAUGAAAAGCACUUUGAAAAUAGAGUCAAACAGUACGUGAAAUUGUUGAAAGGGAAGCGCUUGAGACCAGAGUCAACC